rnacentral:tRNA from 2 species
AGGCUUGUAGCUCAGGUGGUUAGAGCGCACCCCUGAUAAGGGUGAGGUCGGUGGUUCAAGUCCA